GUUGAUGCUGCAGCUCAGGUUGUUAAAUUAGCCGAGUUAGUUGAUGAUGAUAAAGAUACUGUUAUAAUUUCAUUAUUACUUCCGGCUAUUAAAUCGUCAAUUUCCAGUACUGUUAAACGGAGGAAAGUAGAAAAUCAUUCAGUAGUUGAUG